GUCUUCUCAAAUACACUUUUUGACAAACCCUAGAUCAGUACGCCAGUUCUUCUUCUUCAUUAUUCGUCGCUGAUAUAUAAUCCAAAACUGAAAAAACUGAUCGGUUGCAUCAGGUAUGUUGGGAAGAAGAUAGAUAUGGCAACGAAUGAUGGCGAAGAGAUAAGCUGUGAUGGGUUGGGUUGCAUCAGAAUCAUGUCCUACGCCUACCUUUUCAGUUGUAGAGAGUGGCCUCCUUCAAUGGUUUUGUUGCUAACUUUAUUUUGUUGGUCAACAUGAUAGCCUCCUUCGAAGUCAACAACAGUAAUUCAAGUUGCAAUACUUGCUGGUCAACGUGAUACGCCUCCUUUAGAGUCAACAGCAGCAGCCGGAGUUACAACUUCUGUAGGUUAACAUGGAACUUCUGCACUGUCUUAAUGCUCAAUAGGGUCAACGUCAAAUCAAAGGUUACGAUAGGUCUACACUAUACACUUUCACAUUUCUUUACUUCUUUUAAAAGUCUUUCACUUUCACAUAUGAUAUCCAUCUUAAUGCUAUUUGAUUCAAAAGGUGUAUAUACACUGAGAUUUAUAAUAACAAUUUUUAAACUAAUUGAAGCGACAGUCGAUUGAAGUUGUGCAGUCAAAAAAUAGAGAUUACAAAAGAUUACCCUUACAGGUAAUAGUGAUCUAUAAUUUGUAGCAAAAUAAGUUUACAUGUUAAGAUCAAGAUGGGAAGGAAAAACUUCCGAUUAAAAGGUCAAGAAGAAGCCUCGGCAGUUUAAAUAUGAUUACUGGCAAGAAUAAUGAACUGAACAAAGCAGGUGCAUCUGCUAACGGAGCUUAUCCCAAAAGGUCUAAAAAAUAUGAGGAAAGAGUUGCAGAUUAAGAUGGCUAAACUAUCUGAUACCCAAUGUUAAACAUGGUCAAUUCACUGGUGAUGAAGACAAGAUGAUCUGCAGUUUGUAUGCUAAUUUUGGUAGCAGGUUCAGAUGGCUUUGAAUUCGGGUUGGUUUUGGGUUGCAGUAUGCAACCAUGCCGAAGCUCCACCAUGUGGAUGUAAUUAAAAAGAAUUAUUUUAGGCUGCUCUUUGUUCUACACAGCUUGAUCAUGUUUAUUGAAAGUUGGUGCCUUUGCAGUUCUACAUAGCUUGAUCAUUGUUCUACACGACUCUUCGUCAAUCCUAACGUGUACCCUCAAAAUCUAACAUCUGAAACCGGGGACCCCAAAACAAUCGGCCAAACAGUGAUGAUGAUGGUUAUGAAUGCAAACGGCAGCGGUAUCAAGGAGUUGUAGCGGCGACCGUCUAGGGGUUAAGCGUGUGGAGACACUGAUGACUGUAUUUCAACUUCUGAGGCUGAAGAAAUGACCGUAAAACUUGAGGAAUAUUAGAUUAAAAAUCUACCUAGACCUGGACAAGUGAAUUUUUAUCAAUGGAGGCCCCUAUAUGCUAGGUACUCAUUUCUUAUACAAAGCUCUCUUAACUUAUUAGAACUCAUAUACAAAUUAGGGGUGUUAAAUGGGUCAUGUUCAUGAUUUGACUUAUCAAAACCAACACGACAUGAACCCGUGAAAAUCGUUCUAAAGAUGACAUUCUUGUAUCUAAUGAAUGCCUCACAUAUGACCAAUAUGCAACAGUUAGCCAAAUUCAUAGAUAUUCAACAACUCUCCUACGGUUUCUUAAUAAUAUAUUGGACAAAUGCAGUGUAAUAUUGUAAAAGAAUUAUAACCUGAAUUUAGAGAGAAAUAAUAUUGUCUCAUAGUAUAUAAGUUAUAUUCUAACAAAGUUACGAAUUGCAAAAAAUUAUGUAGUAACUCUUACAUAAAGUUUACUAAUGCUUUAGCUUCAUUAGUGUUUGUUUAUAUUGAUUGAAUUGUUUCGGAGGUAAUGUGCUUUUUUACCCUUUUCAAAAUCUUUGACAAAUACUUAGUGAGUUAUUAUAACUACAAAAACAAUAUUAUUAACUUUCGAUAUGUUUUUUAUCGAAAAGUUUAUAGAUACUUAUAAUAUUUUGAAUUUUCGAACAACAAUUUUUUUCCACCUAAAUAUGACAUAACCUUGAAUCUUUAUGAUUGUUGCAUUUUCAUGGGACGUUGGGUGCAUUCCGCGUGAAAGAAGAUGACAAACGGUGUGACUCCUUUGUUGGUGCUCUCCUAAUAACGAUUGUUGACGACCAAUCCAUUAAUAGAGGUACUUGACACCUUUGCAGAGAUCCAAGACAGUCAUAUUGUCGUAAGAGAAGUGGAAAGGAAGCUUCUUGAGUUGCAACAAGUGUGUAUAUGUGUAUAUAAAAGGAUAAUGUUAACAGAAUACUUUAUUUAAUCCAUGAUUAUAAGUAUGUAUUAAUCAUAAAUAGUUUUUAACAAAACUAACUUUCACAAGGUAAACUAAUAAUAGAAACUUUUGUGGGUCCAA